CCGUCAAACUGCUGUGAAAAUCUGCCAUCUGUAGAGAGUUUUGAAAGUAGAGCUGUGGACAUGACAUUGUUGAUGUUCAAGGAUUUCAGAGGGAAAGUGCCAGCAUGAAAAGGUAUAAAAUCAUAAAGCUUUCGACUCCUGAAAUGGCUUGUGGAAGUUAAAAAUGCUGUGUAAGCUGAGUGUCUGCAAGCAAAGUACCUUCUGUCUGCUCUUCUCUGAGAAGCACAAAAGCUGAAGACAAUGGAGGGAAAUUGAAGAGAGAAGGAGGCCAUGAAAACCUUUAUGUGGAAUGGAGGUGGUGUUUUGCCAAGACUAGGAACAAACCAGAAUGUUGAAGCAAUGCU
rnacentral:lncRNA from 1 species